AUGCCACAACCCCUGAAAACCGUUGGAGCAGCCCCAUGUUUGGGAUCGACGAGAAGCGCCGAUACCGGCCUUAUCUUCGAGAGGCCACCUGAGCCCACACCGCAGCGGCCAUGCCACGUAGCAGCACACCAGGCAGAGCAAACUCACUGCCGUCGCAGGGGCGCGGACACGCGCACCAACACUGCUCUUCUUCAUCCUAUCGCCGUCCAUCCAUCUCUCUCCGACUCCUCCCGCCACCUUCCUCAUCGAUCCCCGGGCUUUAUCUUUCCCCCACGUCACUCAAGAACGCCGCGACACCUCGAUCCUUUGGCCUUUAGCAUCUCCGACCCACCAGCACACCUAUAA
rnacentral:rRNA from 1 species